CCCCCCCCCCUCCCCUUGCCCACCACCCCCCCCAGCCGCAAGCCGCCGAAGAGGUGCCCCGGUACCGCAGCCUUAUCGCUACCGCGCUUAAAUGCAAACAGCGUGCAAGUUCCGCGCCCCGCGCGUCGCCCCGCUGCCCCACGGAGGCGUUGGGUGGCAUCGCCCGGCUUCAUUUCCCAGGCCCCACGCGCGACGGAGGGCAGCGGGGAGCGGGCCAAAGCGACCCGACCGCAACCAGGGCGCCGCGCACGCCGCCUCGCCCGCCCUGCCCGGGUCCCGCACGGCUGCGGCGAAGGCGCCUCCGUUACGCUUCCGCGCUCGUUUUUGCGCUACUGGGGAAACAAAGCCAGGCAUGGAUCGAUCGAGUCCAGUAUCGUGUCUCUGGCCGCGACCGAUACGGCUACUGAAGCAAAGGAAGACCUGGCCGGUUGCGCACUGCUCUGCAAGACUGAAAAGUUUCUUUCCGGAUGAGUGUGGCACAUUGAGAGCAAUAGCAGAAGCAGGAAAAUGCAAAACAAACGUUGCUGAAAGAACAACCAGUGUCUGUAUUGAAUGGCUCCAUCUCCCUGUGCCCCUGCAGUGCAUCCAUAGCAUGACCCAUGGAGCUGUGAGCACUGAAGACCCAGAAUAACCCCCUCUGGGGGGGGAGGGGGAGCUAACACCCCCUCCCAAAUUGACAUUAAACCUGCCCGAACUGCCGUAAGGCUGCCUUUCUGAGCCAAACAGGGCAUUUGUGACCGUGAGGGGCCCGACCAUGAGGACCAUAUGCCGGUACGCAUGGCCAGCACCAGGAAAUGCUGGCCGAAGGACCCUGCGCUGCCCUUGAACUGGCUGCAUCCUGGCACAGCUUAAUAUAGGUGGGAAAAAACACCACCAGGCUGGCCAGCAGGUCUGGGGAUUGCCCACUGCAGCCUCUGAUGCACGUGGCAGUGGUGAGGCUGCUGCCUUCGCCGGCCUCAGCUGGGGCAAGAGCCCUGCGGUGUGAACCCACGUAUUUAAACCGGUAUUUACCAUCAGAAAAUAAUCUCUCUCUUCUCUCCAUCUCAGUUCCAGUUAUGAGCAGCACAUUAUUCACAAGCACCUGGAAAGGAAACACCAAUAUUCAGGCAAUUUUGGACUUCCCAAAUGCAAUCCCUUCCCUGCCCCCACGCUUAAUUUGCCAAGGUUUAGUGGCUGUAAAAGUAAAGCUACUGUGUUUUCCUGCCAUGGUAUUUUACUCCUACCCUCGCUGCUUCGUAAGGAAUAUCCCUGCACUGAAGAAGUCAAUUUGACUAAAAUUUUUGAGAUCCAGCUCCAACAGCCACACGAAAACAUGGAGAGAAAAAUCUCACUUUUUUUUUUAAUAAAUAAGAAGCGGGUUUUUUUUCUCAACUGGGGCUGCAGAGGGUAGUGUGGUGGGGAUACCACGCCUACAUCGCCUUAGACAUGCUCUUGGGAGGCCAGGGAAGAAGCAUUGGUGGUGGGAGGAGGAUGCGCUGCAGCAGGAUGAAGGUGGCUGUGUGGAGCACAAGCACUCAGUGAUGGCUGCCAGCCCUCAGCUUUUGCCCGUGGGGUCCUGGAGUUUUUUAUCCCCGUGGCAUGACUGCACGCGCCGCUGCCGCAUCCCACUAAUAAUGGUUACAGGGCAGCUCCGCGCCGAGGGCUGCUCCCCUCCCGCCUUCAGAGCACAAAACUAAUAGGAGAUUUAAAUGCAUGAAAUUGUGCCUGAGGAACUGGCCGGACCAGGCAAACCCUGAUGUAAAAUAAUGCCACAGCAUCCUCCUGAAAGAGGCUGUGACCUCAAAUGUCUCCCCAAAUUAUGUAUAAAAUGCAUAUAAUGCUUCCAUCUGGAAGCAACCAGCACAUUCAAUACACAAAGAAGCUAAAAAAAAAAAACAAACACAAAAAAAAACCCCCAAACACCACAACAAAAAAAAAAACCCCAAACCCACCCAAACAAAAAACCAGCAAUACAGGAAGCCUUAAAACAUAACUAUAAAAAACAUGAUUGAUAUCAUAUGUUGAUUAAUUAUCACCUUGUUUUGGGGGAGGAAAACCGUAGUUUGUUUUUGUUUCACCUUGAUUUCCACUUUCCAGCCCAAGGGGCCGGAGACACACAACCAAAUUUGCCCGAUUCUGCAUUUUUUCAGUCUGAAAUCACCAAAGACCCCUGGGGUCUCUACAGAAGAGGCAUCUCUGUAGCACUUCGUCAGGAUUAUGUUGACCGGUCCCUUCUCUCCAGUUCUAUAGGAGCUUUUCACAGCCCCAGCCAAUGUCAUGAAACUCCUGCGGCUCCCUUGAAUCUCAGCCCAGAUCUGUCCAAAACUUGGAUCAGGGUCAUAAACCUCAGACAAGUUUUACGCUGAUGAUGAAUUAAGGUACAAAGUGAAUAUUUUCUACUCCUGGAAUUUGUUAUUAAAAGUCCUGAGUUUCUGAAGUGGACAGAUAGUUCCUGAGUAAUUAAUUACCUUCCCCAUCUCCUCUUGAUGCCGUAAGCCAUCCAUUAAUGGAUCCCAAUCAUCCAAAAGGCACUUAGUACCUGACUAUUUUUCUCGAAAUUUUGGGGGUGGUGGUAUUUUAUUGAUUUAUUUUUACAAGAACUGCUUGCCUUGUACCUCCCUUGGAAGCUGCUUGUUCCAGAUACUUGACAUUUGGAGGUCAGGAUGGAUACAGGUCUUGUGAUCUCUUCUCAUCCCUCACAGAAAAAUGCACAACAAAUUAAAAUGACGUUGCAUUUUGAAUCCAUCACUGGAAAUAAAUCCCAUAUUUUCUGGGGAAAAACAAAAACAAAAAAAUCAGCCUUUUAAACCUUGCAGGGAAGAAGCAAUUCUAAAUUUCUGAUUUAUUUCUUUCAGGACCCUUUUCAACCAGCUCUGGUUUGGAGCACAUCAAGAAAAACCCGGCCAUUUUGGAGCUGAGCAAAACACUGCACAGCAGCGCCCUUAAAAUCCAAAAACAAGCCCCUGCCAAAGUUCACAAGCAACAUUUGGAUCCAAUAAAGUUACAGGUGCUAAGUAUGGUGGUGGUUAAGAAACUCUGCCUGUCUGAACCAGAGGUGCCCAGGUGAGAGCGUGCCAGCUCACAGGGCACAGAAAGCCUCCCCAUACUUAAAUUCAGCCAUGUACAGAAGCAUCAUUUAAUAUUUUGUCAUCAUUUUCUCAUACUCCAAUGCUGUGGUCACAACCGUCUGCUAUGAAAAAGCAGCCCUGGCAGAUGUAUGAUUUUUUGGCUGCUGUACACAACAAAGACCAUCCAAGAAAACUGAAAACUGAUGAAGAGAGAGCCAAGAGGACAGAAAAAAAAAUGGGUUUGAGCUAAACUAUGGAUUUAAGGAGCUUUGUUUUCCCCAUGCAGACUCCUAAUGGUACACUCAGGUGGACGAUGACAAUUUAUACCGAGGACCUGUCUCUUAGUGCCAAUAUCACAAUAAAACUUCACUUUUCUCCUGCCCAUUCUUAGUCUUGACUAUUUGUGCUGCAAGUUUUUUGAGGCAGAAGAUUCUGAUUUCUGGACCCGUUUAGUGCUGUGGGAUCACAAACGCAGCAUGAGCUUCCAGGCAAUACUGCAAGGCAAGUAAUAAAAUAUUUAUCCUCCACUACCUUCUGUGCUCGUAUGUUCUGCAAAGGAAGCAUCAAAACUAGAGCCACCAAUUUACAGCUGGAGUCUUCAAACAGAAACAGAACUGGGCUUUUACAGCCACAUCUCUCUAAAACAAAUGUUUUCACGCCCUGACCCCUUGCAAAACAUUCUCAUUUCUCAAAUAAUAAUAAUAAAAAAGUAAAAUUUCCAGCUGAAAAGAUAAUUAUUAUAGAUGCAAACAAAGCUUACGCAGCUUAGAAGAUAGGAUGGCCUUUGCAUGAUGACAUUAACCGAGCUGCAACCUAUGGGACAUAUGAUGCUCAGAGCUGGGUCCCAAACCCACCUUCAGGGAACCUGAAUAUUCAUGAAAGCUGCAGCACCUGGAGUCACAGCCUGGCUCCCGGGGGGGGGGGAGCGAAAGCAGCACGUUGCCACUCACUGUGGCAAUCUCCACCUGCAUUUCUUCCUUUCAACCACUAAAUGUGAAGCUGAUAAAUUCCUACCCUUAAUUUCACCCAUUUUUUAGACACCCUUAUCUUUGGCAAUGCAACUGCUCUUUCUUUCUCGCUGGCAAAGUCUCCUUGAUGUGCAAAUCCCUGCAUGCCUGAACUCAUCGAGUCUCCAAUACUAGCGACUCUGGGGAUACGGUGCUAAAACAAGUCUUCACUCCACUCUUACCAUGCCAGAGCUAAUGCACCGGGAAAGAUCAGCACGUGCUGCUUUUCAAACAUUAAACAGGAAAGCUGCUAUAGUCAUAACCUGUAACGGCAGCAAGGAAACCAGCCCUACGCAAUGCAUUCCUCCCUUGCAGAUAUAAGGGGAGGAAAGGACCAAGAGUCCACACUUACCAAGUGGUAGAGAGAGCUGGAUCCUGCUGUGCUGUGGAGGAGGUGGGAGAGUUUUUCCAGCAGCAGCAGUGCAGCCUGAAGAUCAGAAAUCCCCAGAAUGAUGUACUCUGCAGAGCAUCUCCUCUGCUGCCAUGUCCUUAUAGCAGCUAUUGCCAUCAGGUGCUGAUGCCAGCCCUGCUACUGCCUUUAUCCAGAAAGACUGAGUCAUGACCCAUCCCUGCACCCCAGAGUCCUCUGGAUGUCUUCUCUGAGGCCCUGCACAGCACGGUGCUUCCCUCCAGCAGCUGGUGGGGGCUUCACCAGUGGGCAAACACAACCAAAAUUGUUCCAGAGAACACAGGGAUGCAAAGGACUGCUGGAGCUAAAGAAGGGGCAGGACCAGUGGUGGCAAGGGAAGAAAAGAGCGGCUGCAGACUUGGUCGGCUCAAAGCAAAGCUGUGGGGCACUUUCCCAAUACUGCUAGCCCAAGGGAGAAGCUGCUUGUAUUUCUGGCUCAUCACAUCCCAGUUUUGGGGAAGAGCAGGGACUGCAGUGUCAGAGAGGAAAAUGUUCCGCACCACCAAGUCAUCCGGCUUCAGCCAGCACAGCUCCCAGGCAAGGUACAUGACCAAGGGACCUUCCCCAUCUUCCCUCUCAGAUCUCCUGAUUGCUGCCUUAUUAAUAAGUUGUUUAGGAGCUAAACUAAGUUGUUUAGGAGCUAACAAAAAAAAGUUAACCCAGGAAUUCCUGCCCAUUAAUCACUUCACGUCAUGCUCUGGGGUUUUCUUUUGUCCAAGCUACAGAGAAGCAUGGGGCUGGGCAAUGCCCACCUUAGGAUGUAAGGCACCCCGCAAUGUUUUGAUGCAACAGGACUUUAUGAAACACAAGAUUUUACAGUAAUGGCAUUAUGAUUGUGUGUCAAACUGUAACAGGGCAUAACACAGGACCAUGUGGCUUCCCACCAGGGGGUCAGCACCAAGGAGUGUUUGGAGCCUGCACAACAGCAGUAGCUGCCAAGGUCAAGGACGGUACGAGCACAGGAAUGGCUCUCUGGAGCUGCUGGUCCCAGGGGACCCCAGGGAAGCUUCAGCAUGGACCCACAUCCCCACAACAGAUCCAGACUCUUUAGAAACCAAAGGCAAUGGAAGGAAGGAACCCUGGAAGGAGCGUUACCCACACAGAACGACUGACCUGAGGCGGCUCAGAGCUGGCCCCACAAGCAUAACUUCCCUCUUAGCUCUAUUGAGAUACUGAAAGUUAAAAAAACCUUUGUAACCUGUGACCUUGAAAAAUGAAUAUGCUUUCUGCAGUGCGCCAGGAUCACUCUCUUCUUCAUCUCAGCAGAAAGCUUCCUUUGCUUCCCACUGUAAAAAAAAAACUGGAAGAGCCAAAGCUGCAGCUGGCCAGACCAGGAGAUAGGAUGGAGGGUCCCCCAAGGCUGGUAACACCAGCGUGCCAAGUGCUGGCAAGCUGAAUGACCCCAGCGCUCAAAGGCAUCGAGUGUGCCCACAGCAAGUAUGGAGAGGAGUUUCUGGUAUCUCAAAUUUUUAGUGCACAGAAGGAGAAAUAAACAAUCUAAAUGCUGAAAUGCUCCGAGAUGAAAGUCAGUGAUUUCCCCCUCCUUUUAGCAUCGGAACUGAUUUGUGGUGCUGGGGCUUGCCUCAACCCAGAGCCCUCCCUAGCAGCUCCCCGGGUCUCUGUCAGGACCGCUGCCUGCAGUCAGGACAGCACUCAGUGGAGGGUUUUUUCCCCGGGGGGCAGAAGCAAUGGUGACAGGGGCA